UCCUGCAGCUCAGGAGGCCAGCCGAGGCUGUCGGGUGACCCCCCUGCACCGUGAAGACGGCUGGACGAAGAGGAAAGAUGAGGCAGGAUUGUGUAUUUGGGUUCCUGCCGUAUUGGGUUGCAUUUGGAGAGGAGCAGUCCUGUGGCAGGAGGCGGAUAUUUGGGCUGGUUCGUUGUUAUUUUGGUGGAAUUUAAUAAAGAAUAUGAAAUUAAUAAACAACACAGCUGAAACAUGAA